rnacentral:rRNA from 1 species
AGCUCCAAUAGCGUAUGUUAAAGUUGUUGCGGUAAAAAAGCUCGUAGUUGGAUUUCUGUCGAGGACGACCGGUCCAUACAAUGUAUGUGCAUCUGGCUCGGCUUCGGCAUCCUCUCGAAAAACGUUUCUGUGCUUGAUUGCAUGGAGCGGAGUUCGGGACUUUUACUUUGAGGAAAUUAGAGUGUUCACGGCAGGCUAUCGCCAGAAUACAUUAGCAUGGAAUAAUACUAUAGGAUUUCGGUUCUAUUUUGUUGGUUUCUAGAAUUGAAAUAAUGAUUAAUAGGGACAAUUGGGGGCAUUCGUAUCAUGGCGUCAGAGGUGGAAUUCUUGGAUUGCCGUGCGACGAACUACUGCGAAAGCAUUUGCCAAGGAUGUUUUCA